rfam:Ovis aries breed Texel chromosome 10, whole genome shotgun sequence.
UCCCUGGUGGUCCAGUGGCUAAGACACUGUGCUCCCAACAGAGGGGGCCCAGGUUAGACUCCUGGUCAGGGAA